GAUACGGGACUCAUCCGAGGCCCCGUAAUCGGAAUGAGCACACUUUAAAUCCUUUAACGAGUAUCCAUUGGAGGGCAAGUCUGGUGCCAGCAGCCGCGGUAAUUCCAGCUCCAAUAGCGUAUAUUAAAGUUGUUGCGGUUAAAAAGCUCGUAGUUGGACUUGUGUCCCACGCUGUCGGUUCACCGCCCGUCGGUGUCUAACUGGCAUGGUUCGUGGGACGUCCUGCCGGUGGUGGCGAGUCGAAGGAGCGCGCCCGUCGUGGUUCACGCCGCGAUCGAGGUUGCGGUCUGUAGACGGACCCCGAUGAAAUCCUACCGCGGUGCUCUUCACCGAGUGUCGAGGUGGGCCGGCACGUUUACUUUGAACAAAUUAGAGUGCUUAAAGCAGGCCUGUUGCGCCUGAAUACUGUGUGCAUGGAAUAAUGGAAUAGGACCUCGGUUCUAUUUUGUUGGUUUUCGGAACCCGAGGUAAUGAUUAAUAGGGACAGUCGGGGGCAUUCGUAUUGCGACGUUAGAGGUGAAAUUCUUGGAUCGUCGCAAGACGGACCGAAGCGAAAGCAUUUGCCAAGUAUGUUUUCAUUAAUCAAGAACGAAAGUUAGAGGUUCGAAGGCGAUCAGAUACCGCCCUAGUUCUAACCAUAAACGAUGCCAGCUAGCGAUCCGCCGAAGUUCCUCCGAUGACUCGGCGGGCAGCUCCCGGGAAACCAAAGCUUUUGGGUUCCGGGGGAAGUAUGGUUGCAAAGCUGAAACUUAAAGGAAUUGACGGAAGGGCACCACCAGGAGUGGAGCCUGCGGCUUAAUUUGACUCAACACGG
rnacentral:rRNA from 1 species